CAUAUCAAUAAGCGGAGGAAAAGAAACUAACAAGGAUUCCCCUAGUAACUGCGAGUGAAGCGGGAAAAGCUCAAAUUUAAAAUCUGGUGGUCUUUGGCCAUCCGAGUUGUAAUCUAGAGAAGUGUUAUCCGCGCUGGACCGUGUACAAGUCUCCUGGAAUGGAGCGUCAUAGAGGGUGAGAAUCCCGUCUUUGACACGGACUGCCAGGGCUUUGUGAUGCGCUCUCAAAGAGUCGAGUUGUUUGGGAAUGCAGCUCAAAAUGGGUGGUAAAUUCCAUCUAAAGCUAAAUAUUGGCGAGAGACCGAUAGCGAACAAGUACCGUGAGGGAAAGAUGAAAAGAACUUUGGAAAGAGAGUUAAACAGUACGUGAAAUUGCUGAAAGGGAAACGCUUGAAGUCAGUCGCGUUGUCUGGGGAUCAACCUUGCUUUUGCUGGGCGUACUUUCCAGAUGACGGGUCAGCAUCAAUUUUGACCGUUGGAUAAAGUCUAGAGGAAUGUGGCAUCUUCGGAUGUGUUAUAGCCUCUGGUCGCAUACAACGGUUGGGAUUGAGGAACUCAGCACGCCGCAAGGCCGGGUACUUGUACCACGUUCGUGCUUAGGAUGCUGGCAUAAUGGCUUUAAUCGACCCGUCUUGAAACACGGACCAAGGAGUCUAACAUGCCUGCGAGUAUUUGGGUGGAAAACCCGAGUGCGUAAUGAAAGUGAAAGUUGAGAUCCCUGUCAUGGGGAGCAUCGACGCCCGGACCAGACCUUUUGUGACGGAUCUGCGGUAGAGCAUGUAUGUUGGGACCCGAAAGAUGGUGAACUAUGCCUGAAUAGGGUGAAGCCAGAGGAAACUCUGGUGGAGGCUCGUAGCGAUUCUGACGUGCAAAUCGAUCGUCAAAUUUGGGUAUAGGGGCGAAAGACUAAUCGA
rnacentral:rRNA from 1 species